rnacentral:rRNA from 1 species
GUCGUAACAAGGUCUCCGUUGGUGAACCAGCGGAGGGAUCAUUACCGAGUUUACAACUCCCAAACCCCUGUGAACAUACCUUAAUGUUGCCUCGGCGGAUCAGCCCGCGCCCCGUAAAACGGGACGGCCCGCCAGAGGACCCAAACUCUAAUGUUUCUUAUUGUAACUUCUGAGUAAAACAAACAAAUAAAUCAAAACUUUCAACAACGGAUCUCUUGGUUCUGGCAUCGAUGAAGAACGCAGCAAAAUGCGAUAAGUAAUGUGAAUUGCAGAAUUCAGUGAAUCAUCGAAUCUUUGAACGCACAUUGCGCCCGCUGGUAUUCCGGCGGGCAUGCCUGUUCGAGCGUCAUUUCAACCCUCAAGCCCCCGGGUUUGGUGUUGGGGAUCGGCUCUGCCCUUCUGGGCGGUGCCGCCCCCGAAAUACAUUGGCGGUCUCGCUGCAGCCUCCAUUGCGUAGUAGCUAACACCUCGCAACUGGAACGCGGCGCGGCCAUGCCGUAAAACCCCAACUUCUGAAUGUUGACCUCGGAUCAGGUAGGAAUACCCGCUGAACUUAAGCAUAUCAAUA